rnacentral:rRNA from 1 species
AUUGAACGCUGGCGGCAGGCCUAACACAUGCAAGUCGAACGGUAACAGGAAGCAGCUUGCUGCUUCGCUGACGAGUGGCGGACGGGUGAGUAAUGUCUGGGAAACUGCCUGAUGGAGGGGGAUAACUACUGGAAACGGUAGCUAAUACCGCAUAACGUCGCAAGACCAACGAGGGGGACCUUCGGGCCUCUUGCCAUCGGAUGUGCCCAGAUGGGAUUAGCUAGUAGGUGGGGUAACGGCUCACCUAGGCUACGAUCCCUAGCUGGUCUGGGAGGAUGACCAGCCACACUGGAACUGAGACACGGUCCAGACUACUACGGGAGGCAGCAGUGGGGAAUAUUGCACAAUGGGCGCAAGCCUGAUGCAGCCAUGCCGCGUGUAUGAAGAAGGCCUUCGGGUUGUAAAGUACUUUCAGCGGGGAGGAAGGUGUUGAGGUUAAUAACCUCAGCAAUUGACGUUACCCGCAGAAGAAGCACCGGCUAACUCCGUGCCAGCCGCCGCCGUAAGAC